rnacentral:ncRNA from 1 species
CCCAGUGAGUUUAAUCAUAUAAUUAAGUGGAGGAAAAGAAACUUACAAGGUUUCCCCCAGUAACAGUGAGUGAAUCGGGAAGAGCCUAGCAUGAAAAUCGGGUGGCAGCACCGCCUGAAUUGUAUUUUGUAUAAGUGUCCUUAGUGGCGGAUUGGGCCCAAGUCCCCUGGAAGGCGGUGCCUUAAAGGGCGACAACCCCGUCAGGCCGAGACCCUGUCGCACCACGAGGCAUUGUCGGCGAGUUGGGUUGUUUGGGAAUGCAACCCUAAUUGGGUGGUAAAUUCCUUCCAAGGCUAAAUUUGGGCGAGAGACCAAUAGUGAACAAGUACCGUGAGGGAAAUAUGAAAAGGACUUUGAAAAUAGAGUUAAAGAGUGCUUAAAAUUGUUGGGAGGGAAGCGGAUGGAGGCAGAUGAUGCAUCUCGGUCAAAUGCGAAAUGACUCAAGCUGGUCCAUUGCUUGCCUCAAGGUGCGAACCAGCACAGGCCGUUGCAUCGACACAAGCAUGGGUGGAGUACUACCUGUUGUUUUUCCAUUGUGGUGGCUAAGGAGCGGAGAAAUCAAGGGAUUCCACGAACACUCGUUUAAAUUUAUUUUUAUUCUCUUGCCAACACUUCUUUUAGUUUGUUGAUAU